GACGAACGCUGGCGGCGUGCUUAACACAUGCAAGUCGAACGGAAAGGCCCUGCUUUUGUGGGGUGCUCGAGUGGCGAACGGGUGAGUAACACGUGAGUAACCUGCCCUUGACUUUGGGAUAACUUCAGGAAACUGGGGCUAAUACCGGAUAGGAGCUCCUGCUGCAUGGUGGGGGUUGGAAAGUUUCGGCGGUUGGGGAUGGACUCGCGGCUUAUCAGCUUGUUGGUGGGGUAGUGGCUUACCAAGGCUUUGACGGGUAGCCGGCCUGAGAGGGUGACCGGCCACAUUGGGACUGAGAUACGGCCCAGACUCCUACGGGAGGCAGCAGCGGGGAUUAUUGCACAAUGGGCGGAAGCCUGAUGCAGCAACGCCGCGUGCGGGAUGACGGCCUUCGGGUUGUAAACCGCUUUCGCCUGUGACGAAGCGUGAGUGACGGUAAUGGGUAAAGAAGCACCGGCUAACUACGUG
rnacentral:rRNA from 1 species